UACGUAGGGUGCAAGCGUUGUCCGGAAUUAUUGGGCGUAAAGAGCUCGUAGGCGGUCUGUCGCGUCUGCUGUGAAAACUCAGGGCUUAACCCUGAGCUUGCAGUGGGUACGGGCAGACUAGGGUGCGGUAGGGGAGACUGGAAUUCCUGGUGUAGCGGUGAAAUGCGCAGAUAUCAGGAGGAACACCGGUGGCGAAGGCGGGUCUCUGGGCCGUAACUGACGCUGAGGAGCGAAAGCAUGGGGAGCGAACAGG
rnacentral:rRNA from 1 species